UGAUGAAGAGGAUGAAGAAGAAGAAGCUAUCCAACCUCCAAAGAAGAGGAAGAAGUGAACAAAUGACCACCUGAAGUUAGUUUAACUUGACAAGGAGAAUCAUCCAUUAUGCUUUUUAAUUACCUUGCAUUUGAAGUUAUCAAGAACUUUGGAGCUUUUAUUUGAGCAAACAAGAUUCUCCCUUCAAUUUUUAACAUGCCUCGUUAACAAGUAAAUUAUCACCAAUAGUUUCUACUUGCACACAAGAUCGAGAAAAUCUACAAAAUCA
rnacentral:misc_RNA from 1 species